UCGAGAAUAAUUCACAAUGGGGGCAACCCUGAUGGUGCAACGCCGCGUGGAGGAUGAAGGUCUUCGGAUUGUAAACUCCUGUCAUCCGGGAGUAAGACCUGGCGAUGAAUAGUCGACAGGGUUGAUAGUACCGGAAGAGGAAGGGACGGCUAACUUCGUGCCAGCAGCCGCGGUAAUACGAAGGUCCCGAGCGUUGUUCGGAAUCACUGGGCGUAAAGGGAGCGUAGGCGGCGCGGUAAGUCAGAUGUGAAAUCCCGGGGCUCAACCCCGGAACUGCAUCCGAUACUGCCGUGCUUAGAGGGUUGGAGAGGUAGCUGGAAUUCUUGGUGUAGCAGUGAAAUGCGUGGAUAUCAAGAGGAACACUCGUGGCGAAAGCGAGCUACUGGACAACACCUGACGCUGAGGCUCGAAGGCCAGGGGAGCGAAAGGG
rnacentral:rRNA from 1 species